GUGUUCGCUUCCACAGCACACAUACUAAAGUUAGAACGAUGCAGAGAAGAUUAGCACAGCUCCUGCACAAAGAUGACAUGCAAAUUUGUGAAGUGUUCCAUAUUUUU
ensembl:snRNA LOC120098436 U6 spliceosomal RNA